GGUGAAACUGCGAAUGGCUCAUUAAAUCAGUUAUCGUUUAUUUGAUAGUACCUUACUACUUGGAUAACCGUGGUAAUUCUAGAGCUAAUACAUGCUAAAAACCUCGACUUUUGAAGGGGUGUAUUUAUUAGAUAAAAAACCAAUGCCCUUCGGGGCUCUUUGGUGAUUCAUGAUAACUUAACGAAUCGCAUGGCCUUGCGCCGGCGAUGGUUCAUUCAAAUUUCUGCCCUAUCAACUUUCGAUGGUAGGAUAGUGGCCUACCAUGGUUUCAACGGGUAACGGGGAAUUAGGGUUCGAUUCCGGAGAGGGAGCCUGAGAAACGGCUACCACAUCCAAGGAAGGCAGCAGGCGCGCAAAUUACCCAAUCCCGACACGGGGAGGUAGUGACAAUAAAUACUGAUACAGGGCUCUUUUGGGUCUUGUAAUUGGAAUGAGUACAAUUUAAAUCCCUUAACGAGGAACAAUUGGAGGGCAAGUCUGGUGCCAGCAGCCGCGGUAAUUCCAGCUCCAAUAGCGUAUAUUAAAGUUGUUGCAGUUAAAAAGCUCGUAGUUGAACCUUGGGCCUGGCUGGCCGGUCCGCCUCACCGCGUGCACUGGUUCGGCCGGGCCUUUCCUUCUGGGAAUCCGCAUGCCCUUUACUGGGUGUGCUGGGGAACCAGGACUUUUACUUUGAAAAAAUUAGAGUGUUCAAAGCAGGCCUUUGCUCGAAUACAUUAGCAUGGAAUAAUAGAAUAGGACGUGCGAUCCUAUUUUGUUGGUUUCUAGGACCGCCGUAAUGAUUAAUAGGGAUAGUCGGGGGCAUCAGUAUUUAAUUGUCAGAGGUGAAAUUCUUGGAUUUAUUAAAGACUAACUACUGCGAAAGCAUUUGCCAAGGAUGUUUUCAUUAAUCAGUGAACGAAAGUUAGGGGAUCGAAGACGAUCAGAUACCGUCGUAGUCUUAACCGUAAACUAUGCCGACUAGGGAUCGGGCGAUGUUAUUAUUUUGACUCGCUCGGCACCUUACGAGAAAUCAAAGUCUUUGG
rnacentral:rRNA from 1 species